GACGAACGCUGGCGGCGUGCUUAACACAUGCAAGUCGAGCGGUAAGGCCCUUUCGGGGGUACACGAGCGGCGAACGGGUGAGUAACACGUGGGUGACCUGCCCUUAGCUCUGGGAUAAGCCUGGGAAACUGGGUCUAAUACCGGAUAUGACUCCAUGACGCAUGUUGUGGGGUGGAAAGCCUUGUGCGGCUAGGGAUGGGCCCGCGGCCUAUCAGCUUGUUGGUGGGGUGANGGCCUACCAAGGCGACGACGGGUAGCCGGCCUGAGAGGGCGACCGGCCACACUGGGACUGAGACACGGCCCAGACUCCUACGGGAGGCAGCAGUGGGGAAUCUUGCGCAAUGGGCGAAAGCCUGACGCAGCGACGCCGCGU
rnacentral:rRNA from 1 species